ensembl:lncRNA
GUCUGCCUGGAAUACAGAAGGCCUGCGUUAGAUCCCUGGGUUGGGAAGAUCCCCUGGAGAAGGAAGUGGCACCCCACUCCAGUACUCUUGCCUGAAGAAUCCCAUGGAGGGAGCAGCCUGGUAGGCUACAGUCCAUGGGAUCACAAAGAGUCGGACACGACUGAGGGACUUCACUCACUCAAGGAAGUCACAAAGUCAAACAGUAUCCACUUGGAUUAGACAGCUGGAUGAAUUGAAUGUUGGCUAAGCAAAAGAUGACGACUAUGACUACUUGACCCACUGCACUGACAACUCAGCAGUCGAUAAUUGUGACUACAUGACUCUGAUCUGACUAUGUCAACAGUGAGGAAUUGCUAAAUGAGUGAAAAGCACAGUGAUUCACUUCCUGACCAGCUCCAAGGAAUGACAGCUGUAUUCCUCUGCUUCAGAUAACUGCUGCUUUCUUGGAAUCACCUCUGGUCCUCAGUACCCAAAUG